AUGUUGUUUACAUAAAUGAUAGGA
rnacentral:siRNA from 1 species